GAUGAACGCUAGCGGCAGGCCUAAUACAUGCAAGACGAACGGUAAGUUGAGUAGCAAUACUUAGCCAAGAGUGUCGUACGGGUGCGUAACACGUAUGCAACCUACCCUAUACAGGAGGAUAGCCUAGGGAAACCUGGAUUAACCCUUCAUAGUAUUAUUGGAUGGCAUCAUUUGAUAAUUAAAACUGAGGUGGUAUAGGAUGGGCAUGCGUCUGAUUAGUUAGUUGGCGGGGUAAUGGCCCACCAAGACGAUGAUCAGUAGGGGUUCUGAGAGGAAGAUCCCCCACACUGGCACUGAGAUACGGGCCAGACUCCUACGGGAGCAGCAGUAGGGAAUAUUGGUCAAUGGAUGCAAGUCUGAACCAGCCAUGCCGCGUGCAGGAAGAAGGCCCUUUCUGGGGUUGUAAAACUGCUUUUGCCAGGGGAUAAAAUUUCCAUGCGUGGAAAACUGAAGGUACCUGGUGAAUAAGCCACGGGCUAACUACGUGCCAGCAGCCGCGGUAAU
rnacentral:rRNA from 1 species